rnacentral:lncRNA from 1 species
CAAACGUUUAAAAUGAAAAAAUCGUAUAUUUCAUUGUUAUUCCUUAUAUUUUAUUUUUGCUAUUCGGAACUGGCAUAUACCAAUGGUAAUGAUGAUUUUGAAAAAGGCAUAACGGAUGAUAGUAAUAAACAUAACGCUGAAGAAAUAAUUACGUAUACAAAAAGCAAAAUAAGACGAAAUCUAAGUGAUGGAGGAGUUGUUAUAACGGAUAUCGAUUCGGAUAAAGAGACUAAAAAACCAGAUGAAAAUAUGUUAGAUAAUCGUUAUAAUCAAUUAAACUGGUAUCUGAUAGAAGAUGGGCAAAUAAAUACGUCUGAGUUUUUUCAUAAUACCUCUAAUAUAGGUCGUUUAUAUAUGUCAAAUAUGAAUAAGCAUUCUAAACUUGGGGAAAUGGGUUACUCUGUACUCUUUAUUGAUUAUACUAAAAACGGUCCAGUAAACGUAGACGCUAGUAUUAAUGGAAAAUUUUUUACAUGUGAAAAUAAUGCAGAAAACAAAUGUCUUCAAACCUUUUAUAAGUCAUAUGAUCUUACUGUUGCAGGUAACGAAAAAGAUGAGCAUUAUAAAACCAUACGUACGCUAUCGAAUAUUUACACUACACAUAUAAAUAUCAAAGACACAAAUUUCAAAUCAGGUUACGUCCUACAACUUAUAAAGUAUAAAAUAAAUAAAAGAAAUCAAGAAAUACUUAUUAUAUUAGAAGGAUAUAUAUUCAUAUGUGUAGGAAAAGUCAAUGCUUCAACAUGUAUAAUGGAAGACCCAUUUUAUAUAACUAACAAUUUUCUAAAUUUGUGUGAGAAUUUAGACCAUAUGCAAAUCCCUAUAACUAUAAGCGAUAAAACAGAGUGUAAUUAUAAAAAUCACAAACCUGUAGUAAAAAAUCCACCUACAGGCUCAUUUGAAUCGGUCUUAUCAAAUAGCAUUCCCUUUUAUCACUUGUAUCCACACUUGUUUAAUAAACUAAAUAUUUUUGAAAAUAUUUGUAAAAAAAUAGGAAUAAAUAAAAAAAGAUGUACAGAUGUAUUUUACAGUUUGUACAUAUUUGUAACAGAAAUAACACAAAAACAUAGAAAAAAUGAUCAACAAAUUAAAGAUUUUUUAAACAGAUGUAUGCAACCUAUUUCUGAGAGUAAAACAGAACAAAGUAUAACUGAUUCUGAUAAAAUAACUAAAGCACCAAAAGAAAACUUAGAUAAUGAACUGACAACUCAUGAAUAUUUAUUGAAGCAACUUACAGCAAGUAUAAAAGAUGACGAAAUAGCCAAAUGUACAGAAGCUUCCAUCAAUUUAAAAACUUUUUAUCUAAAUAAUCUUAUCAAAUCAAAAUCAAGUUCUACAAUUUCUAAUUUAAUAUAUGAUAUAUUCAUAUUGAAACUUAAAUUUAUAUGUUCUAAUAUUCAUAUUUAAGUUAUAAUUUUUAAAAAACGAUAAUAGUUUUUCCCAUUAUUUAUGCAUAUAUAUAUAAAAUUAUGUAUAUACAGUUUUAUUCUGUUUCAAAAAAAAUGAUAAUACAAAGUGUAUUAGAUUCAUUAAAAAAUUUAAUAUCACUAUUUAUCAUUUUUAUUUAUUCUAUUUUUUUUUUUUUUUUUGCUUAUUUUUUUUAUAAACAUAAAUAUCACAAUUACAACUAAAAUCAAUAUUAUAAAUAUUAACAGUAUGCAGUUAAAUCUGCAAUAAUAUAAAUAAAUUAAUAACAAUAUUUUCUUUUUUUUAAACA